CAGCAGCCACGGGAAUACGUAGGGUGCGAGCGUUAAUCGGAAUUACUGGGCGUAAAGCGUGCGCAGGCGGUUUUGUAAGACAGGUGUGAAAUCCCCGGGCUUAACCUGGGAACUGCGCUUGUGACUGCACAGCUAGAGUAUGGCAGAGGGGGGUGGAAUUCCACGUGUAGCAGUGAAAUGCGUAGAGAUGUGGAGGAACACCGAUGGCGAAGGCAGCCCCCUGGGCCAAUACUGACGCUCAUGCACGAAAGCGUGGGGAGCAAACAGGAUUAGAUACCCCGGUAGUCCCUGUCUCUUAUAC
rnacentral:rRNA from 1 species